rnacentral:lncRNA from 1 species
UAUCAAACGGUCAGAAAUUACGAUCUCUGUUUAGCAGAAUCUGUAGGCUCAUUUGAAACAAAAGUUUAGGCAGGCAAACUUACUCCGAAUUCUUAAAUUAAGCUAUCGAAAGAAAGGUUUAUGAGUCUAUAUUCUGAUCAAAUAAGUUUUGUCCAAAUCAGAGGUCAAUACAUGAAGUUAUAACCAUAAAAAGAUAGAAAGGUCAGAAUCUCGGAAGUUGCAUAGAUUCGAAUAGUUACGUCUAAACAGGAGAUAUAUCAAAUGCAAGGUUAGAACAAUUCAAAGUUCCUCAUAUUCAAAGCAAAUGUAGAGGUAAAAUUACAGUAAGGAAAGAUCAGGAUACUUGCAAUAGGAAAGAUUAGAAAGCUUGCAAUAGGAAGGAUCGGAACACUUGCAAUAAAAAGGAUCGAAACACUUGCAAUAGGAAGGAUCGGAAUACUUGCAAUAAGAAAAAAUAGAACAAUUACAGGAGAAACGAUCAGGAAACUUGCCUUUCAAAGGUUUUGAUCCGAAGAUCCAAAGAAGGUGUCAGCCCAAAUCCUUCUACUUUUCCUCCAUGUCCUCUCCCUAUUUCAUUUUCUAUAUGUAUUCUCUUUUUCCUCCACAACUGCAGCUCAUGCAGAACAUAGAGGCAUAGUCACCUGCUCUCUCUUAGUCUCAUUACUUCGUUUUCUUUGCCAAACGCAGUUGCCACAGCCACCGCCGCUGCUACUGCCACAGUCGCAGUCCUUUCCACCGCACUGCCUUCUUCCUCCCCUUCUUUCGCAGACACAACUGCUGCAUACGCAGCCGCUGCCGCCGCAGCCGCAACCCCAUCUGCAGCCCCUUUUUCCCCCUUUCCUUUCUUUUCUUUCCCAGCUGCAACUGCCGCAGUCGCAGUCACAGGCAUUGCCGCGGCCACCACAACCGCAGCAUCUUCUUCCUCCCUUGCUUAUUUUCCUCUCCUUCUUCUCUUCCAGCUGCAGCUGCCAUCGCUGCAGCCGCAGCCCCUUCUUCCCCUUCUCUUCUUCCUCUCCUUCCCUUCUUCCUUCCUCUUCCUCUUUCCCUGCCACAGCUGCAGCCGCAGCUUCUUCUUUCCCUUCUCCUCUUCCUUCUCCUUCCUUUCUUCUUCUUCUCUUCUUCAUCACCUUCUCUUCCUCUCCUUCUCUUCCAGCUGCAGCUGCCACCGCCGCAACCACAGCUCCUCCUUUUCCUUCUCUUCUUCUCCUCUUCUUCUUCCCGCCUCCUCCCCGGCAUCACACACACCCUCUCAUAUGUUUCCUCUGCAGGAAACAGAGGUAUCACAACCUCUUCUCCUGCUUCCUCUUCCUCUUCUCUUCCUCUUCUUCUUCUUCUCCUCUUCGAAUGCCCCACACCUCUUCUCUGUUUCCACCUACAGGAAACAAAGAUGCUGUUGCCACCUCUCGCUCCUCUCCCUCUUCCCUCUCUUUUCCCUCUUCUUCUCCUUCUCUUCUUCUCCUCUUCCCUUUUCCUCCCCAACGUCACACGCCUCCUCGCUACAGCCUUGCCGCAGCUAUCCUCCAAUCUUCUUCUUCUUCUUCUUCUCCCCCUUCUUCCUCUCUUCUUUUCCGUCUUCUUCUUCUUUUCUUCUCUUCUCCCUCUUCUUCUCUUCCUCUUCUCCCCACGCCCCACAGCUCCUCUCUCUGUUUCGGGAACAGAGAGCGUGGGAGGCGGUCGGAUAAAACCGAAAUUUUUGGUUUUCUUUAUUUUUUUCUUUUUGCAACUUAACAGUUUAGUCCUUGAAAUUUCUAUAUUCACAUAUAGGUCCUCCAAUUUACAUAUAAAUCUUUAUUAAUAAUUUUUAAAAGUGAGGGAUAUUACACUCUCCCCCCAUUAAAAGAAAAUUUAGUCCUCUAAAUUGAUCAUAGCUCAAUCGAUGAAAAGAUGAGGAUUAUGAUUUCUUUAUUUCCUCCUCGUGCUCUCAAAUAGUUUCAUCAAAAUAAUACAAUUACACAAUUAUCCAAGAUUGACCGAAAUAUUCUCCUCCUUGAUCCUCAAUAGAUGGUAACCCGACCAUCAAUCAAUCUUUGAAAAUACCUGUGCACCCUGCAGUUAAUCAAACAAGUCGUCACUUUAGAGAAUACUCGUUUUUGAUGGUCACCUGUUUCAAUUGUCUAUAAUCAAUACAAAGCCUCAAUGUUCCAUCCAUCUUUUUAACUAACACCGGAGCACCCCAUGAUGAAAUAUUAAGCCAAAUAAAAUCCAUAUUUAAUAGUCCUUCUAGUUGCUUUUCUUAUUCCACUUACUCAAAUGAUGUCAUUCUGUAGAGAGGCUUAGAUAUUGGGAUUGUCCCAAGGACCAAAUCAAAAGCAAAGUCACGUUUGAAGGUAAUCCAAGUAAGUCAUCCUGGGAUACAUUAGGCAAGGAGAUAAAUCAUGUCCAAUACUCUUAAAAUAAAAGAUCGGCUGAUCAAAUAUGCAAAAAGUGAUCAUCUGUUAUAUAACCAUCCAUACUGGUAUGAUAAGAAGAUAGUCAAUCCAUACCAAGUAUAAUAUCAAAACUCCAAAUCUCUAGGAGAACUAAAUCAGCAAAAAGUUCAUGUUCUCCAAUAAAAUUAGACAAGAGGACCAGAUUCAAGUCCGUUAUCAAAUAAUCUUCAAUGAUUGUUUUUACAUAUAUCACAUAAUGCAGUGGUCUAGGUUGAAUGCCCAAGUGAUAAGCAAAAUAUUCCGAAUCAAAUCGUAGAUAGGACCUUUGGUCAAACAAAUAUUUGCAUUCUUUCAUAAACAUGCAUAAUACCUUCGACUACUAAUUCAGAAGUUUUAGAAUCAUAUUCAGUGAUAGCAUACACUCUGACAUAGCCUGAUGAUUUAAGAGACAGUGACUCUUUCUUCUGGUUCAAAGGGCAGUCUUUUAUUUUAUGAUCCAACUUUCUACAAAUAAAAUAGACUCCAGUCACCCGGAAACAUAAAUUUGUUUCAUAAUUUAACUUAUAAUUCACACAUGAUUGAGUCUUUUGUGGUGACUUCCCAUUUCACAUCCAAAUGUCUUGACCCUCUUGUUAUUACUUUCUGAUUCAUUUUCAAUCAUAUUUUUAUUGGUAAACUUGUCCUUAUCAUUCUUGCCACUGAUCUCCAAAAAUUCUUUUCAUUGUUGCCAUUAAUGAUCAGCCUCUACUUCCAAUAUAUGGUGGCAAAAGAAAUCUUUCGAUCAUCAAAAUAAUUUUGUACAUCAAAUAUCUUCUCUGUUUACAUCAUCCAUUUUUCUACCACCAACGAAAUUAGGUUCACCACGCUUUCGCUGUGCCACUCUGAUUUGAUAUCCCCGAUCAACCCUUUCAUCCCACUUAAUUAAUCAGAAACAAUUGAAAUAUGAGAACCAAAUUACCUCAUCAUCCUUGAUUCCUAAAAUGCAUCAAAGAAAAUUUCCACCAAUCACUAUAGUUUAUUAGACCUCAAUAUAUUUUGCACGUCAACAUAUCAAAUAUUUCAGUAAUCCUCAAAUCAUGCUCUGAUACCACCUCUGUCACGCCCCUCAAAAAAUAUCCAUGAUAUUUAAAAUUUUCAUCACAAACCAAUCAAGGAUCCAAACUAACAUUUGAGGACACUGAAAAAUAUUCUAUCAAAUUCACAUCUAUAACAUUUGUGCAGUUUAUAAUCAUAUAUCACAUCACUCGAUAAUUCACAUUUAUGGCAACCCAAGCUAAACUUGACAAACAUAAACAACAUUUAUAAAUCCAUAAGCUAAAUAAAUUAUACAAUCAGAACUCCAAUUAUUCACCAUAAGUUCAUAUCAUCAUAAACUAGACUUAACAUUCCGAAAUUCUAAAUAAGAGAGAUCUUCUAACUCUUUUACAUAGUAUCUCCAUUUCGAUUCAUCGACAACAUUUCAUUACAUACAAAAUAUGCUUAUACAACAAUAACAUAAUAACCAACAAGACUUGCCCAUAAUUCUGAAUAGCUCUCCACUACCUCAGCCCAAUUCAAAACAUCUCAAAGAGUGACAACUUAACCUGAUAGAUUUAUAUAACAAUGGAGUGAGCUAAAAACAGCUCAACAAGCAACAAAGCAUAUUCAGAACAAAAAGAACGGUUUCAAAUAAGUAAGAUAUCAUAAUGCAAGGCAGAAUAUAAGAAUUCUCGAGGAUACCAUCUCAUUAGAUACAAAUCAUAUGUGUCAUGUCAUUCAAAACAUAUUUGGUUCAUAACAAAUGGAGCAUAGAGUAAUUGGAGUAUAUCAAUAGCGUAGGAAAUGUUCCGAAGCAUAUCAACGACAUAUGGAACAUUUCGGAGCAUGCCAAUAACAGUUGAAACAUUUCGGAGCAUAUCAACAACGAAUGAAACAUUUCGGAGCAUAUCAAAAACAAAUGAAACGUUUCGGAGCUUAUCAAUGGCGUAUGAAAUGUUCCGGAGCAUAUCAACGGCGUAUGGAACAUUUCGAAGCAUGCCAAUAACAUAUGAAACAUUUCGGAGCAUAUCAAUAACGAAUGAAACGUUUUGGAGCAUAUCAAUAACAAAUGAAACGUUUCGGAGCUUAUCAAUGGCGUAUGAAAUGUUUCGGAGCAUAUCAACGGCGUAUGGAACAUUUCAAAGCAUAUCAACAAUGAAUGAAACAUUUCAGAGCAUAUAAAUAACAAAUGAAACGUUUCGGAGCUUAUUAGUGGCGUAUGAAAUGUUCCAGAGCAUAUCAACGGCGUAUGGAACAUUUCAGAGCAUAUCAAUGACAAAUACCAAACAGAAGCUCAAACGUCGUAUUUGAUGUUACAUUCAUAUCAUUCUUAUCCAAAGCAUGUACAGAAACACAUAACCAACGCUCUGGAUACCAUAUCAAAUAUACAGAAGGUGUAGUCGGACCACAGACAGAAUAUGAUUCAUCCAUUUCUGAAUGACCACCAGACAGAAGUCUCCAACGUUUGGGAGCUCCAUCAACCCAUGUCUAGGCGAAGUUAGAGGGGGCCGGCAGAGCAUCGCAGGCUCUAUGCAUAACUCCCUUUACCAUUUCUGGCAAAGGUUCACAUUAUCCCACAACACCAGAGUACAAAAGGGCAGUAUGAACAAUAAAUAGCAUAUAUCGGAAGCACACACGGAACAACAAAAUGUACAUGUGCCUUUACGAGUCAAUACGAUGCAAGCAACAAUCUCUCAUAAAUGUAUUUAGAUUUGAAAGGAAAUGAAAGCAAAAGUAUACACGGAUUCCAAGCAAUCAUAUAUAGCUCAAAUCAAAUAAGAAGGUUAGAUGAAUUCAAUAUCCAAAGGAAUGAAACUAGAAUAGGCACAUAUCGAAAACAAAUACGGAAAAAUGGGAUAUACAUAUGCCUAUAUGAGUCAAUACGAUAUAGCAUAAACGUUACACAACAGUUUUCAAGAAUGCAAUAAUUUGAAGGACAAGAGCAUACAAGAAUUCAAAGUAGUAAUAUAAAGCUCAAUUGAAUAAGAAAGCUAAAGGAUAUCAAUUUCCAAAGGAAUGAAACCAGAAUAUUAGAAAUCGACCAAAGCUCGAUUUUUGGCAGAAUACAAGAGGCAUAUUGAACAAAUGAUUCAAACUAUCAAUCAUGCUCCAAUUUACUCAGAAAUAUAUCAUUAGAUUAUACUUUCAGAUAAGACAAGCUUCAUAUAAAUGGAACUAUCUAAUAGAGAUAGUUACAAAUAAUUUGGUAAACAUGGGUCGGAGAACAAAAUCUCUGUUUGGCAGAAUUCAUAAGGUCAGAUUCAACAGAUAACUGGGCAGGUGUUUGGAAUCUAAUUCUUUCAAUUCAUAUAUCAAAUGAAAGAUCUACGAGUCUAGUUUCUAAUGAAAUCAGUUUUGAACAAAUCAAAGUUUCCAACAUCGACUUAUAGGCCGCUCGGUAUCAAAAGGUCAGAAAUUGCAAUAUCUAUUUGGCAGAAUCUGCAGGCUCAUUUGAAACAUAAGUUUAGGUAGGCAUACUUACUCCGAAUUCUUAAAUUAAGCUAUCGAAAGAUAGAUUUAUGAGUCUAUAUUCUGAUCAAGUAAGUUUUGUCCAAAUCAGAGGUCAAUACAUGAAGUUAUAACCAUAAAAAGGUAGAAAGGUCAGAAUCUCGGAAGUUGCAUAGAUUCGAAUAGUUACGUCUAAACAGGAGAUAUAUCAAAUGCAAGGUUAGAACAAUUCAAAGUUCCUCAUAUUCAAAGCAAAUGU